UACGUAGGGUGCGAGCGUUAAUCGGAAUUACUGGGCGUAAAGCGUGCGCAGGCGGUUCGUUGUGUCGGUGGUGAAAGCCCCGGGCUCAACUUGGGAACGGCAUUGGAAACUGGAGAGCUAGAGGACGGUAGAGGGGGGUAGAAUUGCUGGUGUAGCGGUGAAAUGCGUAGAGAUCAGCAGGAAUACCCGUGGCGAAGGCGGCUACCUGGACCAGCACUGACACUGAGGCACGAAAGCGUGGGGAGCAAACAGG
rnacentral:rRNA from 1 species